ACACCGUUGGUGAAGUGGUUAUCAUGCUUGCCUUCCAUUUGUUUCAUGUAUCUUUGGGUAAAUUCUUAGGUAGCAAGCGGCUCGGGUUCGAUUCCCGAACGGUGUA